rnacentral:rRNA from 1 species
UACGUAGGGUGCAAGCGUUGUCCGGAAUUAUUGGGCGUAAAGAGCUCGUAGGCGGUUUGUUGCGUCGGCUGUGAAAUCCCGAGGCUCAACCUCGGGUCUGCAGUCGAUACGAGCAAACUAGAGUGUUGCAGGGGAGACUGGAAUUCCUGGUGUAGCGGUGAAAUGCGCAGAUAUCAGGAGGAACACCGGUGGCGAAGGCGGGUUUCUGGGCAACAACUGACGCUGAGGAGCGAAAGCGUGGGGAGCGAACAGG